AUUGAACGCUGGCGGCAUGCCUUACACAUGCAAGUCGAACGGCAGCGGACCUUCGGGUGCCGGCGAGUGGCGAACGGGUGAGUAAUGUAUCGGAACGUACCUUUCAGUGGGGGAUAACGUAGCGAAAGUUACGCUAAUACCGCAUAUUCUGUAAGCAGGAAAGCAGGGGAUCGCAAGACCUUGCGCUGAUUGAGCGGCCGAUAUCAGAUUAGCUAGUUGGUGAGGUAAAGGCUCACCAAGGCGACGAUCUGUAGCGGGUCUGAGAGGAUGAUCCGCCACACUGGAACUGAGACACGGUCCAGACUCCUACGGGAGGCAGCAGUGAGGAAUAUUCCACAAUGGGCGCAAGCCUGAUGGAGCGACGCCGCGUGAGGGACGAAGCCCUUUGGGGUGUAAACCUCUUUUAGAGGGGAUGAUACGGUGCCUUCGGGCAUCAAAGACAGUACCCUCUGAAUAAGCCUCGGCUAACUACGUGCCAGCCGCCGCAGUAAGAC
rnacentral:rRNA from 1 species